AGAAGCGUAGCAUUAUAGGUACUAAAUCAUUUUUCAUAUUUAACUGAUUAAUUUCUAACAGAAAUACUCACAGAGAGGACAAACCAACUCAUGUGUUAUACCUAAGGCAGAUAUUUAGAUCAGUAACUUAUUUUUUACUCUUCCCGGAAUAAGUAAUAAAGGAUAUAAGUAUAGCCAGAGUCUGUCCUUAACUGGAACAUUUUGAUUCCCUUAAAGAAAACAAACUGGCACAGUUUGUAUUAAAAACUCUUGCACAAAUUGUAAUGUGAUACUGUGAAACAAAUCGAAAACAUUGCCUCUUUGCAUCACAUACCUCGUUUUUUGGAAACUUUCCAAACUGCUUGUCAUAGCCCUCUACAAGUAGGGAAUGUUUCCUGAAGCCGAAUUGAAAGUGGACAGCAUUUAGAGAAUUGACAUUUUAAAAUCCAGUCUUGGGAAGCUGGGUACGUGCUUUCUUCCUGCUGGCCUUGGUAGUGUGUCUAUAGUCUCCUUAUUGACUGUCAACUAACCAGCUAUUUUUUUUUCUUCUCAGUUUUUCUUUCUCUUCGUGCUGUUUUGGGGCUUUUUCUGUGAGCAUUUUGAAGCAUCUACUCCGUGAUGCAUUGCCAAGGGGAGGAAAAACCAAACUAAACAUUACAAGAGAUGUUCCCAUAAUUUAUUUUUGAAAGCUUUGUUGCUUCCUGUGACUUCCUGCCGCUUUUUGACAAUCUCCUGUAUUUAUUUAGAACACUGUGUUACUUGAAAACAUGACAUUAGAACAUUAACAAUUUCCAUGUGCCGUGUGAUGUAUAGGAGUACAAUGUACUGUGGUUAAUUCUGCAGUCGAUUUAUUCUAUUGAUCUGCACAACAGUUGAUCCUCUAACAAUUGAUCCUAUAACCGUUUAUACUGAGGGUGUGCUCUAAGGAUAGUGUGUCAAAGC
rnacentral:lncRNA from 1 species